GACAGCCCGUGAGGCUCACCAGUGAUUGCCAAACUUUUUCGGCUGAGGUCUAGAUAGCAGCCAUUUCAGGCUUUGCUGACCAUACCAUCCUCCCUGGGACAACUGCCCAACCCCACUGUCUAGGCAGAAGCAACUGGUGGACAAAAUGUAACUAAAUGGGUGUGAUUGGGGUCCCAUAAAACUUUCUGGACAGAACAGGCAGCCAUCUGUAGCUUGCUGACUGUGCGGGCUCCAUAUUCUUCAGUGUGCCACAGUCCCCGCCGCCCCACUUUGCCUUAUGCCCACUCACUGCAUUUACAACGCCUGUGUGAGCUCCCAGAUUCGGGAUCCACAGCCCCAGUGCAUGUUCUUGGUAAGAGUACAUGUUGGGGGCAAAACCCAGGAAGUCUGGCAAGCUGACUGCCUGGGUGGACGAGAGGAGGACUCAAAUCCUCCAAUGAUUAUUACAAAGCGACACUGCGGUCUAGGCAUCAUUCCAGAUGUCUAUCCUGAACCAGAGUGCUGGGGCUACUGGAGAAAAUAAAGGGAGUUUUAAAAACCUUCCACAAACAGAGGCUCAUUUUAGCAAGAAAAACACAAUAAACAAGAAAGAUAUAUAGUGUGUUAGAUAAUGGUUAAGUGCUUUAUCUUGAUGUGAUGAUAAUGGCUUCACAAGUGUAUAUGUAGGUGAAAAUCUGCCAAAUCCUUCAAAUAUGUACAGUUUAUUGUAGGUCAAUUAUAUUUUAAUAAAGACUUUUUAAAACAGACAGCUCCUAGCUGUCUGUUCUGUGUUCCAGGAGUUUA
rnacentral:lncRNA from 1 species